UUUGGUUCACGGAUGGAAACAGACGUGAUGAAAAGGGAAUCAGGUGUGAAACCUGAACAGUGCCCGCUGCUGUAAGCUCAUUGUGUCAUCGACUGAAAAGCCACUGUCCAACUGACGGGAAGGUGUCGGUGAUUGAGUAAGUCAGAAGACCUGCCGGUUCAUUU
rnacentral:ncRNA from 1 species